rnacentral:lncRNA from 1 species
CCACUAAUUUCUACAAACAAGCGACGUCUUGAUGCAAACGCCACUAAUUUCUGAAGAAUACAACAGUGUUUUGGAACAAACACCAUUAUUGAUGGAAAAUACGACAUUUUAGAAUUCGUCUGCCACAAAACCUAAGGCGCCAAUAUUUUACAUUUCUGCGAUGUGCAAAUAGAGCUAUCGUGGCAUUCCCUCCAGCGGAUGCUGCUAAUGGUUAAGCUGGGCAGCAUUUUCUGCAGCAAACGUCGGCGACCUUUGCUGCCAUAUGUACAUUAUGUUGCAGUGAUUAUUAUUAUGAUAAACAUACAAGAGUAAUUGAAAUUAAGAGAAUGAACUCACCAUCAUUAUCAAGAUGAUUUGUCUUAAUUGUGUAAUGUGAAAAUUUGUGCCAUUAAUUUAAUUACUUGUACAAAUAAUCUUUAAACUCUACACUGGAGAUCAACAAUAAAAAAUUUAACUAUUUUGUAGAUACAUCUAUCAAAACUAUGAAAUACUUAAAUGAUCCACAUGGUGGAUGAAUAUGUCCACAUAUAUCCCCUUGAGUGUGUUCUAAAAAAGUAGGGGAUUCGAUAUCAACUUUGUAAUACCCGAUUUUGGCCCGAGUCUAAAAGGCCCAAACUACAACAGGCCUAUAUGGCCCAAACCCGAAAUACAGAGGCCCAAAAUACCAACCCAGUGGCCCAAAACAAUGUCAGAAACCCCUAAGGUUUCUGGGGUAAACUUUUGCGCCGCAUCCAAGCCCCUGCAUGAGCCGCACGCUUUCACUUGCAAGAAAUAAACACAAAGAAGGAAACAAAAUCAAAGAUCAAGAAGAUAUCAAACAUGAUUUGUUUCUUUAUUUUUUUUAUUAUUACUAUGGCUAUAAAAAGGCCAUUAAUAUAUUGGAAAGGGAUUAUUUUUUAUUUUGGAAAUCAAUAAAAAAAUGAGUAUUUUCACAAUAUCAAGCAGAGAAAAACAAAAUAGAGAUUAAAGGUAGUGAUUUGUUUUCUUUUUCUUUUUUUUCGAUUUAUUUAUUUGUUAUACGGAAAGUAAAAAGAAAGAAAAAGGAAAAUACCUGGAGACGCUUUUAAAUCUGCGCGAAAAGAGCCAAAAAGCCUCUUUGGGGUGCGGCUCCAACCACCUUUCACGGUGGGAUCGUGGCAGAGGCGCGGCGGCAUAAAAGCUAGGGCCGAAACCCUAGCAGAGGAAUAUCAAGUUUUUUUUUAUUUUU